GAAAAGCCAAGGGUUGUCCAGUGUGAAGGAAGAGGCAGUACAAAAUGAAAGGUCCUGCUACCUACUAGCAAGCUUUCUAAAAACUUUUCCUUCUCACUCAAACUGGUGAUAGUCUGGCGGGUUUCUGAUCCAGGAUCCAAAUGCCUGCUUCCGGAGUGUACUCCAGGCCUCCUGAUGCCAACGUGAUGCUGGUAACAAACUGCACAGACUGCAACUUCAAGUCCCAGAGCCUUCAUGCCAAGUAGUGGUCACCCUCCACCCGCUUCUCUAGCCCCUGGUCACCACGCAUCUACGUGUCCAUGGAUUUGCCUCUUCAGGAUGUCUCACAAACAGGACAUCAUACAAUAUGUGGCUCAUUUCACUGCUAUGAACCCUGGUGUGUAAAGGGUGUGUGGCUGGAGAAAAACACAAAAGAGAGGUCUGGUCGGAGUUUCCACUGUCCUCUUUGAGUUCCUGGGACAAAGAUACUAUCCUCUUUCAGAUUGGCUGCCAAUUGGAGCUGAUGGAAAAGGUACCUAUGAGUCAUAAGACAUUAUAGAGUAAACAACCAAUUUCUAUAGCACACAGAAAGACUAUGGUACGGUGAUUGCUAAAAGAGAGUUUCUAUUGACCAAGGAGACUGGUAGUGAUGUGGAAUUAGAAUAAUUAGUCCAGUGUCUGCACCACAGCAUCAGCAGCACCUGGGAAUUUGUCAGAAAGGUAAUUUCUCAGACUCCACCCUGGAUCUGCUGAAUCUCUUGGGUACGUCUAGAAAUCUAGAUUGUAAUGAGCACCACUAGUCUAGACCCCAGUAGUUCACAGUGAUAUUAUAAUCUCUGUUCAGCGCUUAUCACAAAUGCAAAUAUUGUGACUUUGCCCCAGACCCACUGAAUCAAGACUCUCUGGAGUUGUGGUUUUACCUUUGGAAACUCCUUCUGGCUAUGACUUCGGCAUGGCUAUCAUUGAGGACAUCUCCUGUGGCAAAGAAAUGAUACUAAGUGAAGAAAUAUGGAACAUGGAGAGACCCUGAUUCCUAGAAACAGCAUACGGCAGCACCCUAGUGCUCAGUAUGGCCGUGUGGCUGUGUAGCCACUCUCAGAGAGCUUUGGCAGAAAAUACCAAAAUCAUUAACAGCAAUGCAUUAAUAGCAGGGUUUCUCAACCUAGCAUUGCAAACAUUCUGUACCAGAAAAUUCUUUGUUGUGGGAGUCUAGCCUGUGCAAUGUAGGACGUUUAGUAUCACUCCUAUCAUUACCUGUGAGAUGUGAGGAGCACCCUUCCCCUGGAUGUGUUAAUCAAAAAUAUUUCUACACAUUGCCAAAUAUCUCCCAGCUGAGAACCAGAUUUAUAGAAAAAUCUUUAUCUAGAGACCUUUUGUACCCUGGCAUCAUACUUGUGCUCAUGGUGAGACAUGUCCAUCUAAUUCAAUCCAGUGGUCCUGGAACAGUUCUAUCUUACAGAGGCGGCAAGACUAGGUGAAUACAGCAAGCAAACUCAAAGAGGAAUCUGCUAAGUGGAAGAGGAAGGUAAGGACCCCAGACCUCUAAGGGGCUUCCAUAUUCUUACUGGUACCAAAAGCUCCAUUUAAUUCAAAAUAACUUUCAGGGUGUCAGAAACCACUUGAGCUGCAUCCUCUACCUUCUCCAAAGCCCUAAAGCCUUGUAGACACGACAUGGAAUAGCUAAACGCAGGGAACCUGUGGUCUGAGCAUGAAAACUAGCUGGCUUUGGGUUCACUCAGCAUGUGGCUUUUGCUUCAGUGGUGGAUAUCCAUUCUUUUUUUGGGAUAUCCAUUUUUUAAAUAAGCAAGCACUGGUUUCCAAUGGGAGUAACAGUCAGCAGGAAAGGAAAGGUCUGUCACAUCCAACUGUUGUGGCCCCUUUUCCCUGACAAGGACACUGGUUUCCAAGGCUCCCAUGCAAUUCUUUGCUUAGAUUCUCACCCACGCUUACCGCUCUUCCUCAUUUUGGACUGGCCUAUGCAUUUCGUUCCUGUUCCCAUUGAGACAACUUCCUUUGUCACUGGGAGGAAAAAACAAAUCAUUAAGUGAGCUUUCACAGGCUGAAUGUUCCCCAGUGCCCAGGUUUAAUAUGUCUGCCGGCUUGUCCAUAGGAUUCCCACAGCUUGACUCAAACAGGACUGCAGUCCCAGCAGGGUGGUCUCCCACCACAGGAAGUACUGCGCCACCUGGUGGACAUACGGAAAACAAAAACACUUACAUCUAACCCAGCCCACAACUGUCACCAAAUAGCCCUGUAUAAUAAUGACAUGGAGAGAAAAGGUCUCACCUUGCACUGGUUUAUCAGGUGUGUCACAGCCCUGGUCAGGUGGAGAUUGGAUCUUCACUACGGCUGCCAAUAAAGUCCAUUCUCGAUUUGGCUCAGGCUUCCCUUGUUUGGGCAGCCUGAUCCUAUAGUGCUCAUAGCACAGUUGAGCAAUCUCAUCUGAGGUCCACAUGGUCAGAGGUGGGAUAGAGGCCCUGAUGGAAAGCCACAAUCAUCAGGAGUACAGGAAGGAGAACCAGCACAAGGUACUACAGCCUCACAACAGUUCUUCAACAAUCUUUCUAUGCUGUCCAAUUGUGUUCAGACUGAGGGUCCUCCAUCUGGAAUUUCAUUCAUUUUCCCCUACAUCCUUGCCCUCUUUUCAUCUGUGUGUGUGUGUUACUAGGGAAUGAAACCCUAGCCCUUUUUUAUGUUUUGACAGGAUCUUGCUAAAUUACUAAAUUGUCCAGUAUGGGCUCAAAUUGGAAUCUUUCUGCCUCAGCCUCCUAGAGUGCUGGGAUUACAGUCAUGAACUACCAUACCGGGUUCUCCUUUUCAUCUAUGAGAGAUUUAAGUUCCAAAUCCCACCAACCCCAGAAGAUACUUUUUUGGGAUACCUUAUUUCUUCAAGUUUCUGUUUUUAAUGUUAGAUGUCUGGUACAUAUCUAAUGAAUCAACAUAAAAGCAUAUGACAGCUCAUCAUACAAGAUUUAUCUUUGGUUUUUUUUUUUUGGUACCAGGAAUGGAACUUGGGACCUUGUGCAUGCGAGGCAGGCAGCAGCACCACUAGGCUAAAUCCCCGGCCCCUAAGAUUUAUCUUUCUGAACAGAUGUUCUUUUCCAUCCUCUUUUUAAGGAUGUAUCUUUCUCAUCUCUCCUCUACAGCAAAGGGAAUCUCUAACUCCCUCUAGUAAAUCACCACAGAGAUUUCUCACCAGUCCUUUUAUGCUCACAGUUGUGCUGAAGAAUGUGGGUUUUGGAGUUGCCCUUUGUGAAUGUUAAUUUUGGCUUUGUCACAAAUUAAACUAUGUGAUAUUGGAAAGA